rfam:Oryzias latipes DNA, chromosome3, strain: Hd-rR.
GGUUCUAUGAUGUAGUGGUUAGCACUCUGGGCUUUGAAUCCAGUGGUGUGAGUUCAAAUCUCUGUGGAACCU